ACUAAUCCCUCUAAGCCUUGGUUUCCUCAUCUGUAAAAUGAGGUUAAUGUAACAAGCCAUCCCUCUCUCUGCCUUGUUUAUGAGCUUGUGGAAGCAGGGACUUGGUUUUGUCACCAUUUUCUCUCCAGAGCUUAUUGCUAGCUGUACCAUCAAAGGCAUGCAGAGGACCUUCUGUGGAGUGACCACCACCAGGGCAGGCACCAGAGAGUCACCCAGCCCUACACGAGGACCUUGCAGGAAGUGGAGAGUUUUUGAGAAGUAUGUCAACAGCCUUCAGUGAAUGAUCCUAUCUGACGCCUCGUCUCUGCAGGCGCUCAGCGUUCCCUCUUGCUUCCUCUGGGCCCACCACCAGCACCUCCCAGCAGAGAACACGAAGCCACCUCUAGGCUUGUUGGCAGCACACGUGAUGUGAUGCUCAGUGCGCAGUCACAGUGUGGCUGGGUGACACGUCCAGACGCAACUGGAGAAUUAGGGGCCACAGCCAGAUGUUCCCCCCACC
ensembl:lncRNA